rnacentral:rRNA from 1 species
UACGAAGGGGCUAGCGUUGUUCGGAAUUACUGGGCGUAAAGGGCGCGUAGGCGGUGUGUCAAGUCAGGCGUGAAAGCCCCGGGCUCAACCUGGGAACCGCGCUUGAGACUGGCACGCUAGAGUUCGGGAGAGGAUGGUGGAAUUCCCAGUGUAGAGGUGAAAUUCGUAGAUAUUGGGAAGGAACACCGAUGGCGAAGGCAGCCAUCUGGA